GUAAUACAACCCAUGGGAUUCAUAUUCCUUUGGAGCUGAUGAACUAAAAGGAAUAUGAAUCCCAUGGGUUGUAUUGCCA